UGUGUGAGUUCCAGUCCUGACUUCCUUUGGUGAUGAACAGCAAUGUGGAAGUCAAUCCUCUUGUCCUCUUCUAAUUAAAACUCCCAGGAAUAUGAUGGUAUUUUUGCUGAUCAGACUUCUACAACACAUGUUUCUUUGGACUGAGAAGAAUGGAAGUCCAACGAUCUACUUGACUGUGAAUUAGAAAUGGCUCAUGUGCAUGUACUGAGUCAUUACCUCCAAAGGAAGAAUCUCAUACAUGGACUGUUUUCCUGGAUUAAAAAAAUACAGUAUUCAAUUGUUAUCCAAAGGUAUACCAUCAAUUUAUAUAACAAAUGACAAUGUAUGAAUAUACAGUUUUCAUUCCCAUUCUUUAUGUACUCUAUAACUUCCAUAUCUGUGUGCAUCCCAACUCAGUUGUAGAAAAUUAUUCUUUAAUGCUGAUAAUUCCAUCCAUUUCCUAUCUACAAUCUUUAUGUAUAAUUUAUUUCCCAAGUUUAAUGUAAUACUUAUAAAAUAGCUAUUCAAAGCUGGCAUCUUUUACUGUUUAUGUAAUAAAUGUGAGUUCAGUGUUUAAUUUAUCCUGAAAUUUUUCUGCAUUACUCUGAUAAUAUUUUUAUUCCAGAAUGUGUCACUUAAAUAAAUAGUGCUAUUCUCUCUC
rnacentral:lncRNA from 1 species